rnacentral:tRNA from 1 species
GUGAGUGUAGCUCAAUGGUAGAGUGUCGGAUUGUGGAUCCGAUCGUUGCGGGUUCGAAUCCCGUCACUCACCCCA